rnacentral:rRNA from 1 species
UACGUAGGUGACAAGCGUUGUCCGGAUUUACUGGGCGUAAAGAGCGCGCAGGCGGUCGUUCAAGUCGAGUGUGAAAGCCCCCGGCUCAACUGGGGAGGGUCACUCGAUACUGAUCGACUCGAAGGCAGGAGAGGGUAGUGGAAUUCCCGGUGUAGUGGUGAAAUGCGCAGAUAUCAGGAGGAACACCGGUGGCGAAGGCGGGUCUCUGGGCCGAUACUGACGCUGAGGAGCGAAAGCGUGGGGAGCGAACAGG